rnacentral:piRNA from 1 species
UUUUCUUGUUGAUUAAUGUGGGAGGGUUC